AUAAGCGCCGGUAAGGUGAUAUGAACCGUUAUAACCGGCGAUACCCGAAUGGGGAAACCCAGUGUGAUUCGUCACACUAUCAUUAACUGAAUCCAUAGGUUAAUGAGGCGAACCGGGGGAACUGAAACAUCUAAGUACCCCGAGGAAAAGAAAUCAACCGAGAUUCCCCCAGUAGCGGCGAGCGAACGGGGAGGAGCCCAGAGCCUGAAUCAGCAUGUGUGUUAGUGGAAGCGUCUGGAAAGGCGCGCGAUACAGGGUGACAGCCCCGUACACAAAAGCGCAUGUGCUGUGAGCUCGAUGAGUAGGGCGGGACACGUGGUAUCCUGUCUGAAUAUGGGGGGACCAUCCUCCAAGGCUAAAUACUCCUGACUGACCGAUAGUGAACCAGUACCGUGAGGGAAAGGCGAAAAGAACCCCGGCGAGGGGAGUGAAAAAGAACCUGAAACCGUGUACGUACAAGCAGUGGGAGCACAGGUUUACCUGUGUGACUGCGUACCUUUUGUAUAAUGGGUCAGCGACUUAUAUUCUGUAGCAAGGUUAACCGAAUAGGGGAGCCGGAGGGAAACCGAGUCUUAAUUGGGCGUUAAGUUGCAGGGUAUAGACCCGAAACCCGGUGAUCUAGCCAUGGGCAGGUUGAAGGUUGGGUAACACUAACUGGAGGACCGAACCGACUAAUGUUGAAAAAUUAGCGGAUGACCUGUGGCUGGGGGUGAAAGGCCAAUCAAACCGGGAGAUAGCUGGUUCUCCCCGAAAGCUAUUUAGGUAGCGCCUCGUGAAUUCAUCUCCGGGGGUAGAGCACUGUUUCGGCUAGGGGGCCAUCCCGGCUUACCAACCCGAUGCAAACUGCGAAUACCGGAGAAUGUUAUCACGGGAGACACACGGCGGGUGCUAACGUCCGUCGUGAAGAGGGAAACAACCCAGACCGCCAGCUAAGGUCCCAAAGUCAUGGUUAAGUGGGAAACGAUGUGGGAAGGCCCAGACAGCCAGGAUGUUGGCUUAGAAGCAGCCAUCAUUUAAAGAAAGCGUAAUAGCUCACUGGUCGAGUCGGCCUGCGCGGAAGAUGUAACGGGGCUAAACCAUGCACCGAAGCUGCGGCAGCGACACUGUGUGUUGUUGGGUAGGGGAGCGUUCUGUAAGCCUGCGAAGGUGGCCUGUGAGGGUUGCUGGAGGUAUCAGAAGUGCGAAUGCUGACAUAAGUAACGAUAAAGCGGGUGAAAAGCCCGCUCGCCGGAAGACCAAGGGUUCCUGUCCAACGUUAAUCGGGGCAGGGUGAGUCGACCCCUAAGGCGAGGCCGAAAGGCGUAGUCGAUGGGAAACGGGUUAAUAUUCCCGUACUUGGUGUUACUGCGAAGGGGGGACGGAGAAGGCUAUGUUGGCCGGGCGACGGUUGUCCCGGUUUAAGCGUGUAGGUGUGUGUUCCAGGUAAAUCCGGUUCACUUUAACACUGAGGCGUGACGACGAGGCACUACGGUGCUGAAGCAACAAAUGCCCUGCUUCCAGGAAAAGCCUCUAAGCAUCAGGUAACAUCAAAUCGUACCCCAAACCGACACAGGUGGUCAGGUAGAGAAUACCAAGGCGCUUGAGAGAACUCGGGUGAAGGAACUAGGCAAAAUGGUGCCGUAACUUCGGGAGAAGGCACGCUGACACGUAGGUGAAGUGAUUUACUCAUGGAGCUGAAGUCAGUCGAAGAUACCAGCUGGCUGCAACUGUUUAUUAAAAACACAGCACUGUGCAAACACGAAAGUGGACGUAUACGGUGUGACGCCUGCCCGGUGCCGGAAGGUUAAUUGAUGGGGUCAGCGCAAGCGAAGCUCCUGAUCGAAGCCCCGGUAAACGGCGGCCGUAACUAUAACGGUCCUAAGGUAGCGAAAUUCCUUGUCGGGUAAGUUCCGACCUGCACGAAUGGCGUAAUGAUGGCCAGGCUGUCUCCACCCGAGACUCAGUGAAAUUGAACUCGCUGUGAAGAUGCAGUGUACCCGCGGCAAGACGGAAAGACCCCGUGAACCUUUACUAUAGCUUGACACUGAACAUUGAGCCUUGAUGUGUAGGAUAGGUGGGAGGCUUUGAAGUGUGGACGCCAGUCUGCAUGGAGCCGACCUUGAAAUACCACCCUUUAAUGUUUGAUGUUCUAACGUGGACCCGUUACCCGGGUUGCGGACAGUGUCUGGUGGGUAGUUUGACUGGGGCGGUCUCCUCCUAAAGAGUAACGGAGGAGCACGAAGGUUGGCUAAUCCUGGUCGGACAUCAGGAGGUUAGUGCAAUGGCAUAAGCCAGCUUGACUGCGAGCGUGACGGCGCGAGCAGGUGCGAAAGCAGGUCAUAGUGAUCCGGUGGUUCUGAAUGGAAGGGCCAUCGCUCAACGGAUAAAAGGUACUCCGGGGAUAACAGGCUGAUACCGCCCAAGAGUUCAUAUCGACGGCGGUGUUUGGCACCUCGAUGUCGGCUCAUCACAUCCUGGGGCUGAAGUAGGUCCCAAGGGUAUGGCUGUUCGCCAUUUAAAGUGGUACGCGAGCUGGGUUUAGAACGUCGUGAGACAGUUCGGUCCCUAUCUGCCGUGGGCGCUGGAGAACUGAGGGGGGCUGCUCCUAGUACGAGAGGACCGGAGUGGACGCAUCACUGGUGUUCGGGUUGUCAUGCCAAUGGCACUGCCCGGUAGCUAAAUGCGGAAGAGAUAAGUGCUGAAAGCAUCUAAGCACGAAACUUGCCCCGAG
rnacentral:rRNA from 2 species